GUGGAUUAGAUACCCCGGUAGUCCACGCUGUAAACGAUGAAUACUAGGUGUGGGAGGACUGACCCCUUCCGUGCCGCAGUUAACACAAUAAGUAUUCCACCUGGGGAGUACGACCGCAAGGUUGAAACUCAAAGGAAUUGACGGGGGCCCGCACAAGCGGUGGAUUAUGUGGUUUAAUUCGACGCAACGCGAAGAACCUUACCAGGGCUUGACAUCCUACUAACGAAGCAGAGAUGCAUUAGGUGCCCUUCGGGGAAAGUAGAGACAGGUGGUGCACGGCCGUCGUCAGCU
rnacentral:rRNA from 1 species